UACAGAGGGUGCAAGCGUUAGGCGGAAUCACUGGGCUUAAAGCGUGUGUAGGCGGAUUGGUAAGUACCUUGUGAAAUCCCACAGCUCAACUGUGGAACUGCUGGGUAUACUGCUUAUCUUGAGCCACUUAGGGGCUGUCGGAACAAAUGGUGGAGCGGUGAAAUGCGUAGAUAUCAUUUGGAACGCCAAAGGUGAAAACAGACAGCUGGGAGUGUGCUGACGCUGAGACACAAAAGCCAGGGGAGCGAACGGG
rnacentral:rRNA from 1 species